rnacentral:siRNA from 1 species
CACCAAAGGAUACGCCUGCCU